rnacentral:rRNA from 1 species
ACCGUACUCCUACGGGAGGCAGCAGUGGGGAAUAUUGGACAAUGGGGGCAACCCUGAUCCAGCCAUGCCGCGUGAGUGAUGAAGGCCCUAGGGUUGUAAAGCUCUUUCGACGGGGACGAUAAUGACGGUACCCGUAGAAGAAGCCCCGGCUAACUUCGUGCCAGCAGCCGCGGUAAUACGAAGGGGGCUAGCGUUGCUCGGAAUCACUGGGCGUAAAGCGCACGUAGGCGGAUCUUUAAGUCAGGGGUGAAAUCCCAAGGCUCAACCUUGGAACUGCCUUUGAUACUGGGGAUCUCGAGUCCGGAAGAGGUGAGUGGAACUGCGAGUGUAGAGGUGAAAUUCGUAGAUAUUCGCAAGAACACCAGUGGCGAAGGCGGCUCACUGGUCCGGUACUGACGCUGAGGUGCGAAAGCGUGGGGAGCAAACAGGAUUAGAUACCCGAGUAGUCCUUGAC